GCUGGUUUGGCUCAGUGAUUAGAGCAUUGGCCCACAGACCAAAGGGCCCAGGUUCAAUUCCUGGUCAAAAGCA
rnacentral:tRNA from 1 species